UAGAUUUCCGCCAAGGAUACCGCCACAUUGAGGAUCGAAUUCGACGCAUAGACUAAGGAUCGACGAUCCAUUCCAUCUACCGCCUUCUUCCUCCUUCCAUCCUCCAUCUCUAUCUGUUCUGACAAACAACGACUACCAAUCCAUGGUCCUCGUUUGACAUAUCAACGACGUCAAAUACACGAUCCAAGAGAUCUACUUCAUUCAUUUUUAUGUUAAAUUGCAACAAUAAACCGUUGAAUCGCAUUUGUGGAUCACCUCUAUCUAGCGAGGAUCUUAUAUCGCCAAUGCCUUCUUUUCCAAUCGUACCUUUGACCGCCAUAAACUACACAAACACCGUCACAUAUGGCUCCAACCUCCACGGUUGCCACCUAUGUAUCGAUUAUCAAAAUACUCUUUGAAUCAAAACCACUUAUUUUCGCGAGAGUGGAGAUCUUCUUGUUCCGCUCACCACCUGUUCGAUGAAAUGCCACAGAGGGUUUUGGGUUCUUUUGAGCUCAGAAGAAGUGACAUCACAUGGAGAUCAUUCUUUUGCGAAAAUUGGAAUACAUCAAGUGACAUUUGCUCUAACUUGCAUUCUCAUUUUCACUUUUUCGAUUAUUGUUUUCAUCAUAUAUUACAUUAGUCUAGUUCCAAAUGUUUUUGUGCCCUAAAAUUCAACGAGCUCUUACAAUAUUUUCACUGUUUCUGAUGCUUUAGUGCAGAUCCCCCUUACCUUGAACCAAUGUUUCUUGCUCAUAUCAGCAGCUUCUUUAUCCCACUUCUUCUUAGAUCACCUGCUCGAGGUAAUGUUUCUCUUUAGGUUUACAUAAUAGAGGCAAAAAUGAUAAGAGUUAUUAGUUGAUCAGAGAUCAAAUAUGGUAGGAAAAUGGGCAUUCAAUCAUGUACACAUGGAUACUGAGUACUGGUUGGUGGAAAGGUCGUGCUCCUGUUAAUCCAAAUGUUGUUGUUGUAAUUGGAUUUCUCUGCACCUGCUUAAUAAUUGGUUUCAUUCGAAUCAACAUGUGCUUCUUUUUUACAUUAUGAUCCGAAAUCUUAAACCACAUAUAUCUUUUUAUCAUAUAUCUUGAUUUGGGAUUCAAUUUAGAUGGCUCCAUUUGUGCCUCAAUGGUAUGCUGCACUUGGUAAAAUUCCCACACACUAUUUGCUCUACAAAGAUGUGAACAAGAAUCCAUUAUAAUCAUGUGUGGAUGACAAUGUAGAUGGAGUUUAAUUACUUUAGAAGCUGAUGGUUUAUUAGAGUUGAAAGCUUUGGGUAUCCAAAUGAAGUUGUACACAGAUUCGGUUGUAUCAAUCAACUAUUAUGGCCAAAAUUCUGAAUGGGUGAAUAUGUACAUCAGCAAUUUGAACCCAUCAAAUGAUGACUAGAUUGGAGUUUUCUCCCCUGCCAAUUUUAGGUGGGACAAAAAGCUUCAAUUUCUAUCCAUCUUGGGAUAAAAAAUAUACCUGGUAGUCUAUUGUUUUCAGCAUUCAACCUGCUUCCCUGAAAACUCAAGAGUCAGCCCUCCAUAUUUAUGCGUUGCAUCUAUUAAGAUUUGGAAGAAAUUCUGGUGAAUAUUGAAGAGGUGAAAAAUGAUAAAUUGAAGAAAAUAAAUAAAUAUUGACACGGAGAUAUGAAAACAAUUUGAAAUUUGUAGUAUUUUUUAUUUUUUAUGUUUUAUUUUGUAUUGAAUAAAAUACUUGUAUUAUUAUGUUUAUAGAUUAAUUAAUAAAAAUGAGAUU